rnacentral:piRNA from 1 species
UUAAAAUAAAUCUGUUGGAGAUG